CGUCUAUAUACGUAUAGCAUAUCAAUAAGCGGAGGAAAAGAAACUAACUAGGAUUCCCUUAGUAACGGCGAGUGAAGCGGGAAGAGCUCAAAUUUGAAAUCUUCAAGGUUUUACCUUGACGAAUUGUAGUUUAAAGAAGUGUUUUCUGUUGGUGUUUUGGUAAAAGUUCUUUGGAAUAGGACAUCAUAGAGGGUGAGAAUCCCGUAUUUGACCAUUACUUCCAGCGUUGUGAUACACUUUCAACGAGUCGGAUUGUUUGGGAAUGCAGUCCAAAAUGGGUGGUAAAUUUCAUCUAAAGCUAAAUAUUGGCGAGAGACCGAUAGCGAACAAGUACCGUGAGGGAAAGAUGAAAAGAACUUUGAAAAGAGAGUUAAACAGUACGUGAAAUUGUCAAAAGGGAAGCGUUUGACACCAGUGUUGUUUUCUCGAAAAUCAAUUAAAAAUGGCUGAUUUUGUGUUGUAUUGACCUUAUCAAGCUUUCUUCACUCUUUUCUUGUCUUUUUUAAUGCACUUUUCGUUUAACAAGUCAACAUCAAUUUCUUUUGUUGUAAAAGAGUCAUUGGAAGGUGGCUUUCACUUUCGGUGAAAGUGUUUAUAGCCUUUGGCCUCUGCAAUCGGAGAGAUUGAGGUCUGCAGCGUAGAUCCUUCGGGGUUAGAUACAGUUAGAUGCUAAGUUAUAGCCUUUUCAUAGACAACUUGUUGACUAUAAUCAUCAUGUAGCUUACUCGCUUAUGCUAUUUUACCUACGCUUAGGAUGUUGAUGUGAUACUGCGAGCA
rnacentral:rRNA from 1 species